rnacentral:lncRNA from 1 species
UAUGUGAGCACUUACCACAGCAGCUGCAGCAACCCACUGCAAUCCAGAGAGCACCUUGGAGAUGCAGGGAACCGAAGGUCAUGGACUUCAAGGACAGGACUCACCAAGGACCCUCAAGCCAAUGUUCUUUUUCCAUGGACCACAGGACUCACUGAGAUCAGUUCAAGCUUCAGAUCCAAAGACAAUGGUUGGAAUAAAACAGAUUUUUCUGGAAAAACUUCCAGUAUAAACAUUUUUUUUAUCCAUUGUGAGUUGUUCUGAUGAUGAAGUACUUUCUUACAGUAAAUUACUUUUAAUUAAAAAUGUAUUUCCAACCCCAGCCACUGGAUCUUGUUUUGUAUCUUUGUCUGCCAGACUAAAACAGUCUCUUGAGUUGUCUGUUAAUAUAUAGCUAUCUCUAGGUUGUAAUCAGACUACCUUCUGGUUUGCUGGUCCCUUUAGACCUCUCCCAGGUAUGUUUUUCAGUCCAGC